CCUACGGGGGGCAGCAGCUAAGAAUAUUCCGCAAUGGACGAAAGUCUGACGGAGCAACGCCGCGUGGAUGAUGAAGGUCGGAAGAUUGUAAAAUCCUUUUAUUAUUGAAGAAUAAACUGUACAGGGAAUGGUAUAGUGGUGACAGUAGGUAAUGAAUAAGCACCGGCUAAUUACGUGCCAGCAGCCGCGGUAACACGUAAGGUGCGAGCGUUAUUCGGAAUUAUUGGGCGUAAAGGGCACGCAGGCGGUUAUGCAAGCUUGGUGUGAAAUACUGGGGCUUAACCCCAGAACUGCAUUGAGAACUGCAAGACUAGAGUCAGCGAGGGGAAAUCGGAAUUCCAGGUGUAGGGGUGAAAUCUGUAGAUAUCUGGAAGAACACCAAUGGCGAAGGCAGAUUUCCAGCG
rnacentral:rRNA from 1 species